UCCGGAUAUCCGGAUUUUCGGAUCGGAUCCGGAUUGAAUCCGGAUGUGGGAUAAAAGUCUCAGGCCUAGUGGUGAUCCAUGGGCUUUUGCGAUUCGUCCAUUCUCAUGAGUAACACGAUGUGGUUGAAACGCGUCAUUUUCUGUCGUGGCUCCGGUGAUCGUGACCAAGCUUCCUUCACGGCAUGAGGCAGCGCUCAUCGUUUCACCGUCGCGGCCUCCUAAGCUCGCAACCGAAAGCCAUGGUAUUUCAUAGCUCUCAAAGUCGUUGAUCUCACCUCCCAUUGCAGUCCAAUUUUAUUGUUACAGAGCAUCAUUACGUGGCUCGGGAUUUGAUUAUUGUUGGCUACUUUCAUACGAACAAGAGGUUCGACAAUGUGGAGCUCUCUGGCUUUUUCCCUCAGGCGCCAAUUCCCUAGGCGAAGCUCUUAUACUCUUCUUUUAGUCAAAGCAGUUUAUUGAUUCACUAGGUAUGACCAUCUUACGUUGCACAUCUAUGUUGUUUUGUAGUUUAAUAGCAAAAAGCUUGAAGCCUUAUUAAAGGCUAAAGAUAGAAACCCUGAGAUGCAGGUUUGUGUUUCUAAUCACGACAAAAGUUCUGGACAUCUUACUAUAGCAUGGAUACAUGAUUUGGAAGGAAAUAUAUGGGGAAGAUCUGGACAAUUCGAAUGUGGCAUUGUAUUCGGAGUGGAAGUAGCUUUUGGUUAUGAAGAGAUUUGUUCAGAUUCUUCUGGGAACAGAGUGUUUAUUAGAAUAUUAGGAGAAAUCAUGGAUACAUGAAACUUAUCAAGCCUUUCACUAUAGAAAAAUAUGUUUAGCCCCUUUCCAUCACAUUGUAAUUCAUUUUCGAGGCCAUUGGUUUUACUGAUGGUACAAAUGAUUUUACAACUAUGGAGAUUUUAUUAGCCGAGCUCAAAGUUGUAGAAUUCCUUAGCUAAGGAAGUUGGAAGAUUUAGGUCUUCAUGUUAAGAGAAUAAUGGGAUUGGUACACACAUCUCGCUAUCUUUUUACUAACGUAAGAUUUGUGUAUUAUACUGACAAUGUCGAAGACUUUACAUGUUAAGUUGGAUUUAUGUUUUU